UACGGGGGGGGCAAGCGUUGUUCGGAAUUACUGGGCGCAAAGGGCUCGUAGGUGGCCAACUAAGUCGGACGUGAAAUCCCUCAGCUUAACUGGGGAACUGCGUCCGAUACUGGAUGGCUUGAGUUUGGGAGAGGGAUGCGGAAUUCCAGGUGUAGCGGUGAAAUGCGUAGAUAUCUGGAGGAACACCGGUGGCGAAGGCGGCAUCCUGGACCAACACUGACACUGAGGAGCGAAAGCCAGGGGAGCGAACAGG
rnacentral:rRNA from 1 species